rnacentral:rRNA from 1 species
UACGUAGGGGGCAAGCGUUAUCCGGAUUUACUGGGUGUAAAGGGAGCGUAGACGGCAUAGCAAGUCUGAUGUGAAAGAUCGGAGCUCAACUCCGGGCCUGCAUUGGAAACUGUUAAGCUGGAGUACAGGAGAGGUAAGCGGAAUUCCUAGUGUAGCGGUGAAAUGCGUAGAUAUUAGGAGGAACACCAGUGGCGAAGGCGGCUUACUGGACUGUAACUGACGUUGAGGCUCGAAAGCGUGGGGAGCAA